CUGCUCCUGUUGCAGCCCACCAUGGAGCUCGGGAGGAUAAUAGCCCACCAUCCACUACCCUCUAUCCUCCUUGCCCCGACGCUCCCGUUGGCUUCCGGUCUGGCAUCUCAACAGUGUCCUGGCCCCUCUACGGUGGGACAUCUGGGUACUGCUUUUAAGGGAACAAGAAAGCCUGUGGUAUUCUGCCCUGGGGGUUGGGGGGCAUUUCUGCCACCCUGCUGGCCAUGGACAGUGACCCAAGGGACCAGAGGUCAGCUGUGUCCACCUCUGCCCUCAAGGAGCAACAAGGAGUACAUUUUUAAUGGACCCUGUACAUAUAUAUAUGUAUGUAUGUGUAUAUAUAUAUAUAUAUGUGUGUGUGGCCCUGGCCCCAAUGGGGUGCUGUACAAUUAUUUGAGGGAGGAGACACGGAAAGGCAAUUCUGAGGAACCCAGGUGGAAGAGAGCAAAACCAAGGGCCCUGGAGCUGCCGUCUGAUGUGGCCUCUACUUCCCCAGACGGAAGAAGCCACUGCCCAGGAUUCCUGGUGCCCUGAGCUUCGGGUGCAGAGGCUGUGGACCUGCAUGACUGUGCUAGCGUUUAGUCUGAGUUGAUCUUUUCAAACUGCAAGUGUUGAAUACUAGAGGUGAUUAGAUCCUUUUUUUUUUUUUAAUGUUUUUUUAAUUAGUCAUUGGAGAAGCAAGCAAGCGGCCUAUUCCCUUUUCAAGUUCACCUUUUUGAUGGUACUAAAGAUUAUAAUGGAUUUUAAGGGACAGCUAACUGUGGCCAGGCCCAUCCUCAAUGCUGGGGACAGCACACUCCACGUCCGCGGGCUGCUAGCCUUGUGGUCCCUCACACUCCAAGCUAGGGAGCCGGUGGGACAGCGUGGAGGUCAGUUUAGAGCUGCGCCUUUAUUUGCUAUGGGACAGGUGCAAGGUCUCAGGGAGCAACUCCUUUGUGGUAGUCAUGGGCCUGGGUACCCUGGGCCGUGAAUUCUGGUUAGACUCCCACCCCAUCUCUGUGGCUCACUCCCUGAGCUAAUACUGGGGUCAGAGCCAAGGCUAGCCAGCCUGGCUAUAGCCGUUUCUCAGUAGCCCCUGUUGUUGCCUGGGGGUUUACCCAUGGAUAUAUCCCUCUCUUCCUUCUGAUGCCUCCGGGCUGUGCCUGGGUGGGAGCCUCAGUUUCCCCUAAAGUCUUCCCUGGUUGUAGGCUUCAGAUGGAAGCCCCCAGUUCUUCCAGCUCUGCCUGGACCACGCACAGCUUCUAGGCUCAUUGCCUUCACUAUCCAUCCCCACCACCCUGCCCAAGGCUCCAGAAUAGGCCAGCCUCAUCUGUCCUACCAGGCCGCCUUGCCUGGGUGGGUGAUGAGGUGGCUUGGAGCAGCUUCCCCAGGGCAUUUGUUCGCAAGCACUUUAGCAUAUCUGUUUACAUGCGAACUGCCCUAGCUGUUCUUACCAUCUCAGCACAGCCAUCAGGGCCAGGCCUCACCUCCCUGCCACUACUGGAACUGAGCUCUGACAUCUUCUUGUCCUUGGUCUUCAAGAGCCAUCCAUCUUGUGGUAUCCUGCAAAGUGUUCCACUCCUGCCUCAAUAUGGCUCGGGAUUGGAGCCCACUGCGCACUGGAUGGUGGAUGCUCAGGGCCACCCUCUACAGUCCUAGGGACCAGGGAGGUGGGCAAGCACUAUUCCAGCCAGCCCGGCCCUAACAUUCUUGGUACUGCCGUCCUGCCAUGGGCCCCAUCCCCAGAAGCCCUAACUUCCUGCCUGGUCUUUCCCUUUGCACCCAGACUCAGGAGUGCCUGGGCUAUUCCAAGCUGGGCCUGGGUGCCUGGCCUCCACAUGCCUUGGGCUGGCCCUGUGCUCUCCAGCUGCCCCACUCUCUUAUGGUUGGACAGCUAAACAGCAUCAGGGAUGAGGGCCUUGAUGUGUCCCCAAGAGACACUGCAUUGAGUUCCAGGCACAGGCCAGCAACCUCUGUUGGUACAGAGGGGCCUGACCGCCACCCUCUACUCCAGUUCCCCCAGUUUGGAUCUGGUGGCUCACAUCGGUGCUACACAAGCUAGAGUAGAUAUAUUUAGAGAGAGAAAGAUAUUUUUAAGGUGAAACCCAUGAUUAGCUGUCCUUUAAUGCCGCAGAACACUCCCUCUUACCUGCUUCCCCCAACCCCCACCCACCCAAAAAAAACUGGUCAUUUGGAUGGUCUAAGUAGAUCAGGCCUCGGCCAUUGCUUCUCUGGAAGCGGCAGAGCCAAUACGCUCAGCCAUCAGAUGUGUAAAUAUACCGCUAUUUCCUAUUUUACGGUUCUUCAGAUUUAGUACUUGUAAAUAAACACACAUUAAGGAGAGAUUAAACAUUUUUGCUAAA
rnacentral:lncRNA from 1 species